AUUGAACGCUGGCGGCAGGCCUAACACAUGCAAGUCGAGCGGAUGACGGGAGCUUGCUCCUUGAUUCAGCGGCGGACGGGUGAGUAAUGCCUAGGAAUCUGCCUGGUAGUGGGGGACAACGUUCCGAAAGGAGCGCUAAUACCGCAUACGUCCUACGGGAGAAAGUGGGGGAUCUUCGGACCUCACGCUAUCAGAUGAGCCUAGGUCGGAUUAGCUAGUUGGUGAGGUAAAGGCUCACCAAGGCGACGAUCCGUAACUGGUCUGAGAGGAUGAUCAGUCACACUGGAACUGAGACACGGUCCAGACUCCUACGGGAGGCAGCAGUGGGGAAUAUUGGACAAUGGGCGAAAGCCUGAUCCAGCCAUGCCGCGUGUGUGAAGAAGGUCUUCGGAUUGUAAAGCACUUUAAGUUGGGAGGAAGGGCAGUAAGUUAAUACCUUGCUGUUUUGACGUUACCGACAGAAUAAGCACCGGCUAACUCUGUGCCAGCCGCCGCGGUAAGAC
rnacentral:rRNA from 1 species